rnacentral:rRNA from 1 species
GGGCUAGCGUUGUUCGGAAUCACUGGGCGUAAAGGGCGCGUAGGCGGCCGUUCAAGUCGGGGGUGAAAGCCUGUGGCUCAACCACAGAAUGGCCUUCGAUACUGGACGGCUCGAGACCGGAAGAGGUCAGUGGAACUGCGAGUGUAGAGGUGAAAUUCGUAGAUAUUCGCAAGAACACCAGUGGCGAAGGCGGCUGACUGGUCCGGUUCUGACGCUGAGGCGCGAAAGCGUGGGGAGCAAACAGG